rnacentral:lncRNA from 1 species
CCGGAAAGAACCUCUGGGUGCCAAUAUUCAUGCGGCAAGUUAAAGAUUCUAAUCCAUACCUGAACAAGGGUAGAAGGCGUUUUGUAGGGAUCAAAAUUCGGCACCCAAGCCUGGAGAUGUAGUAUACCUGAGCGAGACGCCAAGUCGUUUUAGUGAAAGCCGCUGCCUUAUCCUCGUCGGUUGUGAAAUUAAAAGUAGAAGAAACCUUUUCCGAGAGGAUGAAUUGACCAACCGGCAGACGGUUUCCAAAGCUGCUGAAGUUCCUCCCAAAGAUCCGCUGCAAACCGAGGUGAAUCACCUUUGCGGAGGACAGUCGGCCGUGAACCGCAUGGGCGAAACGCCGGACUUGUCGUUGGUGGAAAGAAGGGUCCAAAACAAGGCAACGCUUGAGAUCCACCAACUCCGGCCGGAGGAUUGAAUAGUCAUGAGCGGGGACGUCCCUAGGUUUGGAAACUUGCUGGUCGGACUGCCAUCCCUAGCCUUCAGCUUAUCUGCAAAAGAGGCAUUCGGCUGAGGAGGAGGCGACACCUUCGGAC